rnacentral:rRNA from 1 species
UACGUAGGGUGCAAGCGUUGUCCGGAAUUAUUGGGCGUAAAGAGCUCGUAGGCGGUUUGUUGCGUCGGCUGUGAAAACUCGGGGCUUAACCCCGGGCCUGCAGUGGGUACGGGCAGACUAGAGUGCGGUAGGGGAGACUGGAAUUCCUGGUGUAGCGGUGAAAUGCGCAGAUAUCAGGAGGAACACCGGUGGCGAAGGCGGGUCUCUGGGCCGUAACUGACGCUGAGGAGCGAAAGCGUGGGGAGCGAACAGG